rnacentral:rRNA from 1 species
GGGGCUUGCUCCCGGGUGGUAGGGGUAACACCCUCACGCGCCGCCUGCCUGUACCCUCUUUUUACGAGCACCUUUCGUUCUCCUUCGGCGGGGCAACCUGCCGCUGGAACCAAAACAAAACCUUUUUUGCAUCUAGCAUUACCUGUUCUGAUACAAAUAAUCGUUACAACUUUCAACAAUGGAUCUCUUGGCUCUGGCAUCGAUGAAGAACGCAGCGAAAUGCGAUAAGUAGUGUGAAUUGCAGAAUUCAGUGAAUCAUCGAAUCUUUGAACGCACAUUGCGCCCCUUGGUAUUCCAUGGGGCAUGCCUGUUCGAGCGUCAUCUACACCCUCAAGCUCUGCUUGGUGUUGGGCGUCUGUCCCGCCUCUGCGCGCGGACUCGCCCCAAAUUCAUUGGCAGCGGUCUUUGCCUCCUCUCGCGCAGCACAAUUGCGUCUGCGGGGGGGCGUGGCCCGCGUCCACGAAGCAACAUUACCGUCUUUGACCUCGGAUCAGGUAGGGAUACCCGCUGAACUUAAGCAUAU